CCUGCUCUCUCUUUCUCUCUCUCAGACAAAUGAACAGAAACAAGAGAGGGCUGACAGAAGCUCCUGAAAUCAAACGGGAGAAAACUAGAUCUCUCAGGAGGAGCUGGCCAAGUUUACCACCAAGGAACUAUCCACCCGCAAUGAUAAUUCCAAAAUGUGUAACAGUGAAGUUCAUGGAUUUCAUAAACAAAGAAGUAAUUCUUGGGGCAGCAAGGCAUUUACAUCGCUUGUAAGAAAAAAAAGAAAAUCAGGCUGGUUUCAGGUAUCAUCGUGGCAGAGAAGACAAUGAAGCAAUACAUACACAUUUCUCAAGAAAUGAAGUACCGCUCAAGAAUUUCGUAUUCAGCCAAACCUUUUCAGGAUAAAGGCAACAAACGUUUUUGAACGCGAGAAACUCAGCGACUAUCAUUUCCAUAAAUUGUGCUUGAAAAAAACUAAAGCAAGAUCUCCACAAGAUGAGAUCUCAAGAUGACAUCACGAGAUGGGAUGGAUCACAGGAUGGGAUGCCACAAAAUAAGUGUGUGGCGAGGGGGGUGGGGACACUUUGGUGAAAUCACUGUGGGGGUUCUGAGUCUGCUCACCCGGAGGACCCAGAUGAACACAAAUGUGGGGCUGAUGAUUACAGAGCAGAAUGUAUGAUUUUACAGACCCAGUAAUGUAGAAGUGGUCUAACUAACAAAAAUUGGGAUGAGAAGGGAAAGUAAAGGAAGGGGUCUUUAAAGCA